rnacentral:rRNA from 1 species
CCUACGGGUGGCUGCAGUGGGGAAUUUUGGACAAUGGGGGCAACCCUGAUCCAGCCAUGCCGCGUGAGUGAAGAAGGCCUUCGGGUUGUAAAGCUCUUUCGGCCGGGAAAAAAUCGCAUGGGUUAAUACCCUGUGUGGAUGAUGGUACCGGAAUAAGAAGCACCGGCUAACUACGUGCCAGCAGCCGCGGUAAUACGUAGGGUGCGAGCGUUAAUCGGAAUUACUGGGCGUAAAGCGUGCGCAGGCGGUUUGAUAAGACAGGCGUGAAAUCCCCGGGCUCAACCUGGGAACUGCGUUUGUGACUGUCUCACUAGAGUACGGCAGAGGGGGGUGGAAUUCCACGUGUAGCAGUGAAAUGCGUAGAGAUGUGGAGGAACACCAAUGGCGAAGGCAGCCCCCUGGGUCGAUACUGACGCUCAUGCACGAAAGCGUGGGUAGCAAACAGGAUUAGAUACCCCGGUAGUC